rnacentral:rRNA from 1 species
AGUGAACGCUGGCGGUAGGCCUAACACAUGCAAGUCGAACGGCAGCACAGUAAGAUCUUGCUCUUACGGGUGGCGAGUGGCGGACGAGUGAGGAAUACAUCGGAAUCUACUUUUUCGUGGGGGAUAACGUAGGGAAACUUACGCUAAUACCGCAUACGACCUACGGGUGAAAGCAGUGGAUCUUCGGACCUUGCGCGAUUGAAUGAGCCGAUGUCGGAUUAGCUAGUUGGCGGGGUAAAGGCCCACCAAGGCGACGAUCCGUAGCUGGUCUGAGAGGAUGAUCGGCCACACUGGAACUGAGACACGGUCCAGACUCCUACGGGAGGCAGCAGUGGGGAAUAUUGGACAAUGGGCGCAAGCCUGAUGCAGCAAUACCGCGUGGGUGAAGAAGGCCUUCGGGUUGUAAAGCCCUUUUGUUGGGAAAGAAAAGCAGCAGGUUAAUCCACCGCUGUUCUGACGGUACCCAAAGAAUAAGCACCGGCUAACUUCGUG